CCCGUCACGGGGUCGCCUUCACCGCCGUUAUCUCCCUUGCAAUCUCGGAUCUCCCGCCGUCUCGCCGUCUCGCCGUCCAUUGGCGAUCGCGCGGAGAUCAACAUCACGGAUCGGUUGGUUCUUCGACAGGCCUCAGAUCAGAGCAUUCGAUCCAGUUGUAAGAUAUCCCUGAAAGCAUCUCCUCCAUCCGAUCCAACAAGGACGGAACCGGAAGCGACGCUCGGCCUUCGCCUUCGUUCCUUGGCCCAGAUUAUUUGGAGAAGGCUGCGUUUGUAUGCUCCCUUUUACCUUUCAGAACCCAAAUGCAAGGCAUCAUCUUCCUCGAACGAUCCUGAGAGGUCCAUUAUACAGUGUCAUAAAAGGUCAGAGGGCUAAACAAGGCAACAAGAGCUGAAUCGAGAAAGAUGCACAUCUUCCACAACAUCUGUUGACUAAUUUGAGGAGGACUUUCUCUGGUUGGAUCCAACUCAGCUCAGCAUGUCAUUUCACUGCCUCAACAUGGAGGCGUAGCUCAAGAACUGGUGCAGCUACAAUUACUGGUGGUUUCUUAGAUCUCAUUGACGACAAUAAUAUACCUGCAAGACCUCAACCGGGGGGCAAGCAAUUCUUUCCUGAUACUUCAGCUAGCAGUGCUGGAGCAGACACCUCCAGCACUCUCGAACCAAGGCAGUCUCUUCCUGUUCAGGCAAUG